CACGUAGGGCGCAAGCGUUGUCCGGAAUUAUUGGGCGUAAAGAGCUCGUAGGCGGUCUGUUGCGUCCGCUGUGAAAACUCGAGGCUCAACCUCGAGACGCCGAUGGAAACCAUCUGACUAGAGUCCGGAAGAGGAGAGUGGAAUUCCUGGUGUAGCGGUGAAAUGCGCAGAUAUCAGGAGGAACACCGGUGGCGAAGGCGGUUCUCUGGGCAUUACCUGACGCUGAGGAGCGAAAGUGUGGGGAGCGAACAGG
rnacentral:rRNA from 1 species